UGUUCUUCAGAGACGGCACAAC
rnacentral:miRNA from 1 species